CCUACGGGUGGCAGCAGUGGGGAAUAUUGCGCAAUGGGCGAAAGCCUGACGCAGCGACGCCGCGUGAGGGAUGAAGGUCUUCGGAUCGUAAACCUCUGUCAGCAGGGAAGAACGGUCACUGUGCUAAUCAGCAGUGAAUUGACGGUACCUGCAAAGGAAGCACCGGCUAACUCCGUGCCAGCAGCCGCGGUAAUACGGAGGGUGCGAGCGUUAAUCGGAAUUACUGGGCGUAAAGCGCUCGUAGGCGGUAUGUCAAGUCAAGGGUGAAAUCACCGCGCUCACCGUGGGAACUGCCUUUGAAACUGGCAACAUGGAGUGUGUGAGAGGAUAGUGGAAUUCCAGGUGUAGGAGUGAAAUCCGUAGAUAUCUGGAGGAACAUCAGUGGCGAGGGCGACUAGCUGGCCCAUAACUGACGCUGAGGCACGAACGCGUGGGUAUCGAACAGGAUUAGAUACCCCGGUAGUC
rnacentral:rRNA from 1 species